rnacentral:misc_RNA from 1 species
UGCAGGCGACAGACAGCCUCUCACAG